rnacentral:rRNA from 1 species
UACGAAGGGGGCUAGCGUUGCUCGGAAUUACUGGGCGUAAAGGGCGCGUAGGCGGUUCUAUAAGUCAGGCGUGAAAUUCCUGGGCUUAACCUGGGGGCUGCGCUUGAGACUGUGGGACUUGAGGUCAGAAGAGGGUCGUGGAAUUCCCAGUGUAGAGGUGAAAUUCGUAGAUAUCGGGAGGAACACCUGUGGCGAAAGCGGCGCACUGGACCAUAACUGACGCUGAGGCGCGAAAGCUAGGGGAGCAAACAGG